UUUGCUUACAUGUUCCUAUCCUAUUACAAAUAUUAACUCAUUAAAUCCUCAUAACAACUCAAUGGGGUAGGUUGAUGUAUUACCUUCAUUUUGCAGAUAGAGAAACUAAGUACAAGUAGAUCAAAUAACCUGUCCAAGGUUAUCUAGUAGCACGGUAGAGCCAGGACUCAAACCCAUGCAGUCUGGGCCAGAAUCUUUGCUCUUAACUACUAAAUGUGUGCUGCCUUUCUUGAUGAAAGGCUAUUUUUUAUUAAACAAUUCCUAUGUGUGACCCAAGUGAAGGACUUGUCAUUUAAUUCUUAGAAAAAAGGAGUAUCAUCCCCAUUUUAUAGCUGUGAAAGCUGAAAUUGAUUGAGGCUCAAUGACUCCACCAAACUCUUAUACAUGAUUAGUAGCAGAACAAUGCCUAUUCUUUUAAGGCCUAUACUGUCUCACCUCCCAAAGAAGUAUUUGAUAACUAAAAAACAGUGAUAUGUGCUCUUGUUUAAAGAAAAAAAAAUACCACUUUCUCCCUCCUUUUUCCUGGAUUUACUAAAUCAAGCUAAAUUCAGUUUCCAGGAAAAUUCAUUUAAUGAAAACAUUAAGGCAUUAGAAUAUGUGCAUCAUUCUAUAUUUAUUAUUCACUGAUUAAUUCAUUCAUUUCACAAAUAUUUACAUGGAACUGACUCUGUGCCAGGCACGGCAUGUGUUUGAUCAGAUUGGUGUGCCAAAAAUACAAAAAUCUCAGGGCUUUUUUGUUUAAUGGUGAUUGCAAAUGUGGCUCCUAAGACACAGGACUCUGGGUAUCACGCCCUAGUUAAUUCUUUUUCACAUUUAUUUGCAGUUGUGCAGACUUAUCCAGGACAGAGUCACUGGCGUUGGACUCCUAAAGGACAAACGUCAGAGAGGAGAAACUACUACUAUAAUUGAAAGGCAGCUCCACAGAUUCUCAGCUUCAUCAGUGUAUAAUUGAUAGACAAAAAAACUGCACGUAUUUACUGGAUACAAUUUGAUGAGUUUAGA
rnacentral:lncRNA from 1 species